UUAAGUUCAGCGGGUAUUCCUACCUGAUCCGAGGUCAACAUUCAGAAGUUGGGGGUUUAACGGCAUGGCCGCACCGCGUUCCAGUUGCGAGGUGUUAGCUACUACGCAAUGGAGGCUGCAGUGAGACCGCCACUAGAUUUAGGGGGCGGCUCGCCAGAAGGCUUGCCGAUCCCCAACACCAAACCCGGGGGCUUGAGGGU
rnacentral:misc_RNA from 1 species